rnacentral:lncRNA from 1 species
ACACCAGGAAAGGGAGAUAUUAAAGCCCCUUGUCUUGUGCAACGCAGGGAUUCUGUCUCCUGUUCUUGGAAGGGGCUGAAGCUGCUGUGAAAUGGCCUCCGGGAUGUUGGUACACGGGGGAGGCACAUACAAGAAAAUAAGCUGCAACUGUUAGUUGGCUCUUGCCGUAAUUGAUGGACACUGCCAGUUGCUUAGACAGAUGGGAAUUAAUGCUGGUGUUCCCAUUAGAAGUUGCCAUCACAAUCGCGUUGGCGUUACUCUCCUGCGCAGAGUUGAUGUGUGUAAGCCGGUGUGUUUGGAAGGAGCAAGCACAGCUCAUACCUGCAGUCCUUCCUUCCAAUGUAUUGGAGCCGCCGAUCCAACGCAGAGCAGAUGAACUGCUUGCCAGCUUACAGAACACUUCGCAAUGGUAAGGAAAAUGCUUCAUUCCUUGACGUUCAGAGGAGCGUGGUUCAGCGAGCUGGACUGUCAUCCCCGGAGGCAUCUGUGAGCUGUAUUCAGAGGUAGGCUGAUAGAACACACAGCAGCUCAGCAGGUGU